UACGUAGGGCGCAAGCGUUAUCCGGAAUUAUUGGGCGUAAAGAGCUCGUAGGCGGUUUGUCGCGUCUGCCGUGAAAGCCCGGGGCUCAACCCCGGGAGGCGGGUGGAUACUGUCUAGCUCGAGUCCGGAAGAGGAGUGUGGAAUUCCUGGUGUAGCGGUGAAAUGCGCAGAUAUCAGGAGGAACACCAAUGGCGAAGGCAGCACUCUGGGACGUGACUGACGCUGAGACGCGAAAGCGUGGGGAGCAAACAGG
rnacentral:rRNA from 1 species